AGAGUUUGAUCCUGGCUCAGGAUGAACGCUAGCGGGAGGCUUAACACAUGCAAGUCGAGGGGUAACAGGGGUAGCAAUACCUGCUGACGACCGGCGUACGGGUGAGUAACGCGUAUGCAACCUGCCCUAUACAGGAGGAUAGCCCGGAGAAAUUCGGAUUAAUACUCCAUGUGGCAUUUUUUUCGCAUGAAUUAGAUGUUAAAGAUUUAUCGGUAUAGGAUGGGCAUGCGUCCCAUUAGCUAGUUGGUGAGGUAACGGCUCACCAAGGCAUCGAUGGGUAUGGGGUCUUAAAGGAUGGUCCCACACACUGGCACUGAGACACGGGCCAGACUCCUACGGGAGGCAGCAGUGAGGAAUAUUGGUCAAUGGGUGAGAGCCUGAACCAGCCAUCCCGCGUGCAGGAUGACGGUCCUAGUGAUUGUAAACUGCUUUUCUAUGAGAUGAAUAAGAAUUACGUGUAGUUCGAUGACCGUAUUAUAGGAAUAAGCAUCGGCUAACUCCGUGCCAGCAGCCGCGGUAAUACGGAGGAUGCAAGCGUUAUCCGGAUUUAUUAGGUUUAAAGGGUGCGUAGGUGGGCGUUUAAGUCAGUGGUUAAAGCCAUUAGCUUAACUAAUGUAUGCCAUUGAUACUGGAUGUCUUGAAUGUGGUAGAGGUAGGCGGAAUGUGUUGUGUAGCGGUGAAAUGCUUAGAUAUAACACAGAACACCGAUUGCGAAGGCAGCUUACUAUUCCAUUAUUGACGCUGAUGCACGAAAGCGUGGGGAUCAAACAGGAUUAGAUACCCUGGUAGUCCACGCUGUAAACUAUGAUCACUCGUCUUUGGCGAUAUAUAGUCAGAGACUGAGCGAAAGCAUUAAGUGAUCCACCUGGGGAGUACGUUCGCAAGAAUGAAACUCAAAUGAAUUUGACGG
rnacentral:rRNA from 1 species